ACAAAGUACUGGUGUAUUGGUGAACGCAGCUGAUUUUUUUGUAUCCACUGAAUUUGACCAGAAGCUGCUUUUUUCCUGACAUGCAACAUAAAUACAAACAUUCAUCACAGGAUGCACAGUCCCUGCAACUGAAAAGCCUUCCAGCCUGAGCCCGAUACUUCCACCUGCAUGCAUCACAGUAGGAUGAUGUUAGAAGAAUGAUGAGGGACUCAUCAAUUCAACUUUGCCAAAGUGGCAUGUGCCAUUUUGUAUGCCAACGUGGAAUGGAAACUGCGCCCAGGCAGCAUGCGAAGCACCCACUCGCUCAAAGAAGAUAAAAAGGUUACAGCAUAGACUGGCUGCA